AUGUACCCCGCGAACAGCACGAUUCUGAGUGCGCCGUCCGCAUCCACCUGACAACUGCUCGCUACGUGUUGGCAGCC
rnacentral:sRNA from 1 species